GAGCUAUAGCUCAGUAGCAGAGCAUCUGCUUUGCAUGCAGAAAGUUCUAGCUUCAAUCCCUGACAUCUUCA